rnacentral:sRNA from 13 species
GCUGGACAUGGUGGCGCGUGCCUGUAAUCCCAGCUACUCUGGAGGCUGAGGCAGGAGAAUUGCCUGAACCCAGGGGGUGGAGGUUGCAGUGAGCCGAGAUCACACCACUGCACUCCAGCCUGGGUAACAAGAGUGAAACUCCGUCUCAAAAAAAAAAAAAAAAAAAAAAGAAGGAAUCUCGAACUGUCGCCCAGGCUGUAGUGCAGUGGCUUGACGUCGGCUCCCUGCAAUCUCCGCCUCCUGGGUUGAAACAAUUCUCCUGCCUCAG